GUGUUAAGCGAAGCAGAUAUCUGUAAGCUUCAAGAAGAUGAUAUUUCAAGGAUCUCUACUGUUUUGUCCAUUUCGAGAAACUCAUCUGCAAUCCUGCUUCGUCACUACAAUUGGUGUGUGAGCAGAGUUCAUGAUGAAUGGUUUGCUGAUGAGGAGAAGGUUCGAGAUGCUGUUGGCUUGUUGGAGAAACCUGUUGUUGAUUUCCCAACUGAUGGAGAAGUAUGCUUCCCGUUGUCGUCAUUAACAUUGUAAA